rnacentral:tRNA from 1 species
GGACGGGUAGCUCAGUUGGUAGAGCAACGGACUGAAAAUCCGUGUGUCGCCGGUUCGAUUCCGGCCCCGUCCA